rnacentral:rRNA from 1 species
UACGUAGGGGGCGAGCGUUAUCCGGAAUUAUUUGGCGUAAAGGGUUCGCAGGCGGCCUUGUAAGUCAGAUGUGAAAGACAGCGGCUUAACCGUUGUAAGCAUUUGAAACUGCAGGGCUUGAGUACAGGAGAGGAAAGCGGAAUUCCUAGUGUAGCGGUGAAAUGCGUAGAUAUUAGGAGGAACACCAGUGGCGAAGGCGGCUUUCUGGACUGAUACUGACGCCGAGGAACGAAAGCGUGGGGAGCAAACAGGAUUAGAUACCCGGGUAGUCCCUGA